rnacentral:rRNA from 1 species
CUUGAUAGCCAUACCACCCUGAGUGUUUCCAAACUCACCUGAUAUUAGAAGCUAAACAGGUUUAGAUUUGGUGAGGAUGUGGAUGGGAGAAGGAAAAGGUGUUCAAGU